UACGUAGGGUGCAAGCGUUAAUCGGAAUUACUGGGCGUAAAGCGUGCGCAGGCGGCUUUGCAAGACAGAUGUGAAAUCCCCGGGCUCAACCUGGGAACUGCAUUUGUGACUGCAAGGCUAGAGUACGGUAGAGGGGGAUGGAAUUCCGCGUGUAGCAGUGAAAUGCGUAGAUAUGCGUAGGAACACCGAUGGCGAAGGCAAUCCCCUGGACCUGUACUGACGCUCAUGCACGAAAGCGUGGGGAGCAAACAGG
rnacentral:rRNA from 1 species